rnacentral:tRNA from 1 species
GCCUGGUCGUUCGCGCGCAGAAUAGGGACUCAUAAUCCGUUGGUCGCGGGUUCGAGCCCCGCCCGCCCCA